rnacentral:rRNA from 1 species
AGAGUUUGAUUAUGGCUCAGAGCGAACGCUGGCGGCAGGCUUAACACAUGCAAGUCGAGCGGGCGCAGCAAUGCGUCAGCGGCAGACGGGUGAGUAACGCGUGGGAACGUACCUUUUUGGUUCGGAACAACCCAGGGAAACUUGGGCUAAUACCGGAUAAGCCCUUACGGGGAAAGAUUUAUCGCCGAAAGAUCGGCCCGCGUCUGAUUAGCUAGUUGGUGGGGUAAAGGCCCACCAAGGCGACGAUCAGUAGCUGGUCUGAGAGGAUGAUCAGCCACAUUGGGACUGAGACACGGCCCAAACUCCUACGGGAGGCAGCAGUGGGGAAUAUUGGACAAUGGGCGCAAGCCUGAUCCAAGCCAUGCCGCGUGAGUGAUGAAGGCCCUAGGGUUGUAAAGCUCUUUUGUGCGGGAAGAUAAUGACGGUACCGCAAGAAUAAGCCCCGGCUAACUUCGUGCCAGCCGCUGC